rnacentral:lncRNA from 1 species
GGUAGACCUUUAGAUGUCCAAGGGUUGUUGUAGUGUACUUCUGGAAUAUAGCUGUCAUUAUAUCUUUUAAGUUUUCUGGAACAGGAUAAAGGGAACAAGAAGGUCCUCUCUAUCCCUGCUCCUACAUGCUUCUGCCAUCGUAUGACACCAUCUCCUGCCCUUACCAGAGAGCCAAGUAAAUAGAGACACACAAUCACAGACCCCAAAGUGGAGAUAGAGAACUUCUCAGUGGCCCAGACAGAAAUGAGCAUGUCACAAUGACUGCUGCUGUGCAGCAUGAAGAGCAGAGAUAAGCUGGUCACCAUUAUUUGUCAACAAAGCAGAGCACUAAGAAAUCCUCUUCGGCAUGAAAGACACUAAAGCUAUGUGAGCUACUGAAUACUGUACGGAAUAUGGGUGGGUUCAGGCCUUGGCAAGGAUAAGUUGUAUUCUACAGAAAAUGAGGAAAAGUGGCCCUGAAAGACUGAGGUAAUAUCAGUGAACUACUCAGUAAAAAGCUAAAUGCAUUGUCAGCACAUGAUUGUCAGUACACAGCCACUUUCCCAUUUAGAGCUUGAUAUAUCAGAAGUCAUGUUCCUGUGGUCACUGAGUCCAGUUCACUACACAUGUGACCCUAAUGCACAUCAGACAAGAAUCAACAUGACUCAGUCCCUCAGGUAUUUUAUCAUACAGUAAAGCCCUCUGAUUAUAUGAUACUGUUGAGCCAUAUAUCAUUUUAUAUCAUUUUUAGUUUUGUUGCACAUUGCUUCAUUUGUAAGGAACUCAGAAAUAGAUAGCAAACUCAAAAUGCUAAUUCAAAAUAUUUUGCUUCAAGAUAUCCCCAUAAGAUCCACAGCAUUUUAAGUUCUAGUGCAAUUCAUCAGUGUAAUUAUUAAUAACAUGCAAAUAGCUAUAUAUUAAAAGACUCUAGUAUAUUAAUAACAUGUAAAUGUAAGAUAUAGUUUUUAUAUACAAUCAGAAUUUCUAUUGAGAAUAAGUUUUUUAGAUUAUUUAUUUUUAUUUUAUGUGCAUUGGUGUCCUGCUCACAUGUAUGCCUGUGUUAGGGCACCGUAUCCCCUGGACCUGGAGUUAUAGAGAGUUGUGAGCUGCUAUGUGGGUCCUGGGAAUUGAACCUAG